rnacentral:rRNA from 1 species
UGCCAGCAGCCGCGGUAAUACAGAGGGGGCAAGCGUUAUCCGGAGUCACUGGGCGUAAAGGGUGCGUAGGUGGCUCAUCAAGCCAGAGGUGAAAGGCAUUGGCUCAACCAAUGUAAGCCUUUGGAACUGACGAGCUUGAGUGCAGGAGAGGUAAGUGGAAUUCCUAGUGUAGAGGUGAAAUUCGUAGAUAUUAGGAGGAACACCAGUGGCGAAGGCGACUUACUGGACUGUAACUGACACUGAGGCACGAAAGCGUGGGGAGCGAACAGGAUUAGAUA